UAAGCUCUAAAAGAGUUGAAAGGGUUUUGGCAUCGAAUGGCGCGAAAGAGAGUGGAAACGAAGUCAAAAAUGACAUUCUGGAUGCCUUGUACCGGUACAAGACCAAUGGUUGUACCGGUACAACCAGCGAAGUACUCGGCUUGGAGCUGCCAGGCCUUGUACCGGUACAAGGGGUCUUGUACCGGUACAAGACCUGCGAAACCGAGAAACCGAGCUCUCGGUUUGGCUGUCUGCCAGGCCCUGUACCGGUACAAGAAACCGUGUACCGGUACAAGGAGCCCGAGCAGCGGGAUAUGUUUCAGAUAUGGGAAAAAUAGAGGGGCUUUUUGGGAUUUGUU
rnacentral:lncRNA from 1 species